GGAUUUAAUGAAAGUGAAGAAUUAGUUUAGCGUUCCCCUUGACAAGAAUGGGAAAAAUUCUAGUGACCGACGCUGCACACAUACUUCUAAGGCAUCACCACCUCUUUAUAGCCACCUAACAAUACCUUUUA
ensembl:snRNA